rnacentral:ncRNA from 1 species
AGAGUCCCUGUCAGGCAAGGUCUAGCCAACUACCUGUAUCGAGUGUUGCACCGAUGCUAGCGACAGCAAAGGUGAAGCGUACACAGAGAAUCAAAUAGGCCAUAGGGGAGACCGUAAUCCCUGAAGCAUAUUCAGCCCCGUAAAUCGUGUUCCUAGUAAAAUAGGAAGAAUGCAGAUGACGACGUGUUUAACGUUACGGAAGUCAAUACAAGAGAAUCGUUAUUGGUGAGAUUCUUGAGGGUCUGUCGGGGUCAUAGAACA